rnacentral:rRNA from 1 species
GAUGAACGCUGGCGGCGUGCCUAAUACAUGCAAGUCGAGCGAACGGACGAGAAGCUUGCUUCUCUGAUGUUAGCGGCGGACGGGUGAGUAACACGUGGAUAACCUACCUAUAAGACUGGGAUAACUUCGGGAAACCGGAGCUAAUACCGGAUAAUAUUUUGAACCGCAUGGUUCAAAAGUGAAAGACGGUCUUGCUGUCACUUAUAGAUGGAUCCGCGCUGCAUUAGCUAGUUGGUAAGGUAACGGCUUACCAAGGCAACGAUGCAUAGCCGACCUGAGAGGGUGAUCGGCCACACUGGAACUGAGACACGGUCCAGACUCCUACGGGAGGCAGCAGUAGGGAAUCUUCCGCAAUGGGCGAAAGCCUGACGGAGCAACGCCGCGUGAGUGAUGAAGGUCUUCGGAUCGUAAAACUCUGUUAUUAGGGAAGAACAUAUGUGUAAGUAACUGUGCACAUCUUGACGGUACCUAAUCAGAAAGCCACGGCUAACUACGUGCCAGCAGCCGCGGUAAUACGUAGGUGGCAAGCGUUAUCCGGAAUUAUUGGGCGUAAAGCGCGCGUAGGCGGUUUUUUAAGUCUGAUGCGAAAGCCCACGGCUCAACCGUGGAGGGUCAUUGGAAACUGGAAAACUUGAGUGCAGAAGAGGAAAGUGGAAUUCCAUGUGUAGCGGUGAAAUGCGCAGAGAUAUGGAGGAACACCAGUGGCGAAGGCGACUUUCUGGUCUGUAACUGACGCUGAUGUGCGAAAGCGUGGGGAUCAAACAGGAUUAGAUACCCUGGUAGUCCACGCCGUAAACGAUGAGUGCUAAGUGUUAGGGGGUUUCCGCCCCUUAGUGCUGCAGCUAACGCAUUAAGCACUCCGCCUGGGGAGUACGACCGCAAGGUUGAAACUCAAAGGAAUUGACGGGGACCCGCACAAGCGGUGGAGCAUGUGGUUUAAUUCGAAGCAACGCGAAGAACCUUACCAAAUCUUGACAUCCUUUGACAACUCUAGAGAUAGAGCUUUCCCCUUCGGGGGACAAAGUGACAGGUGGUGCAUGGUUGUCGUCAGCUCGUGUCGUGAGAUGUUGGGUUAAGUCCCGCAACGAGCGCAACCCUUAAGCUUAGUUGCCAUCAUUAAGUUGGGCACUCUAAGUUGACUGCCGGUGACAAACCGGAGGAAGGUGGGGAUGACGUCAAAUCAUCAUGCCCCUUAUGAUUUGGGCUACACACGUGCUACAAUGGACAAUACAAAGGGCAGCGAAACCGCGAGGUCAAGCAAAUCCCAUAAAGUUGUUCUCAGUUCGGAUUGUAGUCUGCAACUCGACUACAUGAAGCUGGAAUCGCUAGUAAUCGUAGAUCAGCAUGCUACGGUGAAUACGUUCCCGGGUCU